rnacentral:rRNA from 1 species
UACGUAGGGGGCUAGCGUUGUCCGGAUUUAUUGGGCGUAAAGAGCGUGUAGGCGGCCAGGUAGGUCUGCUGUGAAAACUCGGGGCUCAACCCCGAGCCUGCAGUCGAUACGGGCAGACUAGAGUCCGGCAGGGGAGACUGGAAUUCCUGGUGUAGCGGUGAAAUGCGUAGAUAUCGGGAGGAACACCAGUGGCGAAGGCGACUUCCUGGCCUGUUCUUGACGCUGAGGCGCGAAAGCUAGGGUAGCAAACGGG